rnacentral:sRNA from 1 species
GCUCCGAGGUCCCCGCGCCAGAGACGCAGCCGCGCUCCCACCACCCACACCCACCGCGCCCUCGUUCGCCUCUUCUCCGGGAGCCAGUCCGCGCCACCGCCGCCGCCCAGCCCAUCGCCACCCUCCGCAGCCAUGUCCACCAGGUCCGUGUCCUCGUCCUCCUACCGCAGGAUGUUCGGCGGCCCGGGCACCGCGAGCCGGCCGAGCUCCAGCCGGAGCUACGUGACUACGUCCACCCGCACCUACAGCCUGGGCAGCGCGCUGCGCCCCAGCACCAGCCGCAGCCUCUAUGCCUCGUCCCCGGGAGGCGUGUAUGCCACGCGCUCCUCUGCCGUGCGCCUGCGGAGCAGCGUGCCCGGGGUGCGGCUCCUGCAGGACUCGGUGGACUUCUCGCUGGCCGACGCCAUCAACACCGAGUUCAAGAACACCCGCACCAACGAGAAGGUGGAGCUGCAGGAGCUGAAUGACCGCUUCGCCAACUACAUCGACAAGGUGCGCUUCCUGGAGCAGCAGAAUAAGAUCCUGCUGGCCGAGCUCGAGCAGCUCAAGGGCCAGGGCAAGUCGCGCCUGGGGGACCUCUACGAGGAGGAGAUGCGGGAGCUGCGCCGGCAGGUGGACCAGCUAACCAACGACAAAGCCCGCGUCGAGGUGGAGCGCGACAACCUGGCCGAGGACAUCAUGCGCCUCCGGGAGAAAUUGCAGGAGGAGAUGCUUCAGAGAGAGGAAGCCGAAAACACCCUGCAGUCUUUCAGACAGGUUUGUAGACUCUCUUCCCACUCGCAGCCGCCUGACCCCACCCAACACAAUCCACGAGCAAUUCUAAAAGUUGCUUAACUCACGUCUAAAAAGUGCAAAACUUCAGGGCUGCGCGUAAAGCCCUCUAGUGGCGGGAAGACCACAGGUUGGAGCUUCUCAUGAUUAGAAAAAAUAUUAAUAAAACCCCUUGAACGAUUUUUUUUUUUUUUUGAGACGGUGUCUUACUCUGUCGCCCAGGCUGGAGUGCAGUGGCGAGAUCUUGGCUCACUGCAUCCUCCGCCUCCCGGGUUCAAGCGAUCCUUGAAUGAUUUCUAAGCAGUUCCUUGGGACAUAAAGAAAAAUCUUUUAACUUUUUACUUUGUUUCCCAAAUGUUGCACAGUUU